AUUGAACGCUGGCGGCAUGCCUUACACAUGCAAGUCGAACGGCAGCACGGGUGCUUGCACCUGGUGGCGAGUGGCGAACGGGUGAGUAAUACAUCGGAACAUGUCCUGUAGUGGGGGAUAGCCCGGCGAAAGCCGGAUUAAUACCGCAUACGAUCUACGGAUGAAAGCGGGGGACCUUCGGGCCUCGCGCUAUAGGGUUGGCCGAUGGCUGAUUAGCUAGUUGGUGGGGUAAAGGCCUACCAAGGCGACGAUCAGUAGCUGGUCUGAGAGGACGACCAGCCACACUGGGACUGAGACACGGCCCAGACUCCUACGGGAGGCAGCAGUGGGGAAUUUUGGACAAUGGGCGAAAGCCUGAUCCAGCAAUGCCGCGUGUGUGAAGAAGGCCUUCGGGUUGUAAAGCACUUUUGUCCGGAAAGAAAUCCUUGGCUCUAAUACAGUCGGGGGAUGACGGUACCGGAAGAAUAAGCACCGGCUAACUACGUGCCAGCAGCCGCGGUAAUACGUAGGGUGCGAGCGUUAAUCGGAAUUACUGGGCGUAAAGCGUGCGCAGGCGGUUUGCUAAGACCGAUGUGAAAUCCCCGGGCUCAACCUGGGAACUGCAUUGGUGACUGGCAGGCUAGAGUAUGGCAGAGGGGGGUAGAAUUCCACGUGUAGCAGUGAAACGCGUAGAGAUGUGGAGGAAUACCGAUGGCGAAGGCAGCCCCCUGGGCCAAUACUGACGCUCAUGCACGAAAGCGUGGGGAGCAAACAGGAUUAGAUACCCUGGUAGUCCACGCCCUAAACGAUGUCAACUAGUUGUUGGGGAUUCAUUUCCUUAGUAACGUAGCUAACGCGUGAAGUUGACCGCCUGGGGAGUACGGUCGCAAGAUUAAAACUCAAAGGAAUUGACGGGGACCCGCACAAGCGGUGGAUGAUGUGGAUUAAUUCGAUGCAACGCGAAAAACCUUACCUACCCUUGACAUGGUCGGAAUCCCGCUGAGAGGUGGGAGUGCUCGAAAGAGAACCGGCGCACAGGUGCUGCAUGGCUGUCGUCAGCUCGUGUCGUGAGAUGUUGGGUUAAGUCCCGCAACGAGCGCAACCCUUGUCCUUAGUUGCUACGCAAGAGCACUCUAAGGAGACUGCCGGUGACAAACCGGAGGAAGGUGGGGAUGACGUCAAGUCCUCAUGGCCCUUAUGGGUAGGGCUUCACACGUCAUACAAUGGUCGGAACAGAGGGUUGCCAACCCGCGAGGGGGAGCUAAUCCCAGAAAACCGAUCGUAGUCCGGAUUGCACUCUGCAACUCGAGUGCAUGAAGCUGGAAUCGCUAGUAAUCGCGGAUCAGCAUGCCGCGGUGAAUAAGUUCCCGGGUCU
rnacentral:rRNA from 1 species